rnacentral:lncRNA from 1 species
CUUGGCCGUAGUGCAGGGGUGAUUCGAUGAUGUGGAAUAUUUUUUAAGCUGAGUUCCAGCUAUAACAGUGAUGAAAAACCUUUUAAAUCAUAAAAGAUAAUAGAUUUUAUUUUCUAUUUGACUCUUUUAAUGGAUUGCUUGUUUCGCUGCAGUUAAACUUGAUGUCUAUUAUAUUUUAUCAGUUUAACAUUGUUGGAGACUAAUGAUAAUUUAUUCUGCAUUAUCUUAGUCAUAAUAUUUCUUACUGGGCAAGUUGAGCUCACCCUUCCUUUCACUGUUCUCUUCAAGAAAUGAGAAUAUAGCU